rnacentral:rRNA from 1 species
UAAGGGCGCACGGUGGAUGCCUUGGCACUAGAAGCCGAUGAAGGACGUUACUAACGACGAUAUGCUUUGGGGAGCUGUAAGUAAGCUUUGAUCCAGAGAUUUCCGAAUGGGGAAACCCAGCAUGAGUUAUGUCAUGUUAUCGAUAUGUGAAUACAUAGCAUAUCAGAAGGCACACCCGGAGAACUGAAACAUCUUAGUACCCGGAGGAAGAGAAAGAAAAUUCGAUUCCCUUAGUAGCGGCGAGCGAAACGGGAAGAGCCCAAACCAACAAGCUUGCUUGUUGGGGUUGUAGGACACUCUAUACGGAGUUACAAAGGACG